ACCGCACAAGCGGUGGAUGAUGUGGAUUAAUUCGAUGCAACGCGAAGAACCUUACCUACCCUUGACAUGUCCGGAACUUGCCAGAGAUGGCUUGGUGCCCGAAAGGGAAUCGGAACACAGGUGCUGCAUGGCUGUCGUCAGCUCGUGUCGUGAGAUGUUGGGUUAAGUCCCGCAACGAGCGCAACCCUUAUCAUUAGUUGCUACGCAAGGGCACUCUAAUGAGACUGCCGGUGACAAACCGGAGGAAGGUGGGGAUGACGUCAAGUCCUCAUGGCCCUUAUGGGUAGGGCUUCACACGUGCUACAAUGGUUGGUACAACGAGUUGCGAGUCGGUGACGGCGAGCUAAUCUCUUAAAGCCAAUCUCAGUUCGGAUUGUAGGCUGCAACUCGCCUACAUGAAGUCGGAAUCGCUAGUAAUCGCGGAUCAGCACGCCGCGGUCGAAUACGUUCCCGGGCCUU
rnacentral:rRNA from 1 species